AACCCAUGUCUAGCUCAGUUGGUUAGAGUAUGGUACUGAUAAUGCCAAAGCUGCAGGUUCAAUCCUUGUAUGGGAUG